UACAGAACAUAUUAACAUUACGUACAAAGAGGUGACAUAACUGGCAAAGCACCCUUUAUACGUGUAUAUAACAAGUAAUACAAAACGAAAGUUUGGUGGUAGUGACAUAUUUUCCCUCUUAAAUGGAGCUCCACUCGCCCCCAUGGAGGCGACGUAAUUCUACGUAAAGUGUUACCCGGACCAACAUGGCGGCCGCGUCAUUAGUGGAGGCGACGUAAUUCUACGGAAAGUGUGGCCCGGUCCAACAUGGCGGCGACGUCCCUAGUGGAGGUGACGUAUUUCCGCUCUUGAGUGGAGCUCCACUCGCCCAUAUGUCUGCAGCCAGACCCUCUUGUUUUUAACGGAUGCGUUCGCAUAUUAUAUUUUACAGACGACGAUAAUUACUCCACAAGUACUUUAACUUUGUUUUUCAUAUAGGCUAGAGUUAUUGUAUGGCCUCGAGAUACUUGAAACAUUGCUGUCAUAUGAAUGAAAUCUCGUGUUUCGCCGAAGAAAGAAACUUGCAUCAUAAAGACAUGGGGGGAAAAAGACAUAAAGAAGAUCUGAAAGGCUGAGUGUUUUGUCCUUCAUCAGAUUGAGUUCUCUGAAAGGAAGUGGAAAUAUGAGCUGGACGUCCUGAUUUUCUUGUCCUUCAGCCCAGUCCAGGAUGAACUUCUGCACAGAGACUGUUUUUCCAAUGCCAGCGACUCCUUUUGUCAGAACAGUUCUGAUGGGUUUGUCUUGUCCAGUAUAAUCGAGGGAUAAAGAACCUUUUGUUUUUCUGAACAUGGCAUGCUGCAAAUGAGGAAGAUAAAGAAGACUAAAGUAUGUAAACCCUGUUUAAGAUCUGGUUUUACUGGUUUGAUACAGUAUAAAAUAGGUCAACAGCUUUUAAAAAAUAUAUAUUUUAAAGCAUUAAUUACAUGACAUAAAAAUGAAAGUAUACAAAUACUGUUUACUAAAACAAAUACAAAUAUAUUUUGUAUAAACUUUUGACAGUUAGCUGAACAUUACAUAUAAACUUUUCCCCAAGCACAACUUCUAAUAGUGUUUGGUUAUUUUUGUCUAAUGUGAUCCAUCAAAUGCUUUUCUCAGUCUGUGCAGAAGUAGCACUUACCAGAAUGAAGAUUUCUGUUUCUCACAGGUUACCUGCAGCAGGGUGAUGUUUAUUCCUCAGUGCUGUUGUGAGCGAGUUGUGGCAUCAAGGAAGUUGAUGGAUUAGUGUCUGCCCCAGAUGUCACAGGCCGCCCACAAUGCUCACUAAUUGCUUCAUGCAUAUUUUCAAUUUUUUUUUUUUUUUUUUUUUUUUUUUGACACUCAGGUUUUUUUUUUUUUUUUUCUGUGGCACAUGAAAAUAUUUUUUGCAAUAAUGGUGGAGAGAAUUUGGUUUUGCAGACUUCAAGUACCACAAGAAUUGAAAACAACGCAUGUGCUGUACUCCAAGUGUUGCAAUACAAUAGUUUUGUCUGUGGAACAGACUGAAUUUAAGUUGUUGGCAAUGCCUCUGUGUACCAGUGUUGUUUCUUAUGGUCAAGUAGGAUUAAAAAAGCUCAGUUAUUUAAAGAUACAAUACAUUAUAUAGUCCUAACUUGUUCUCAAACUGACAUGUUACAAACAUGGCAAAUAAGUUCUUUAAUUUACACAAUUUAUUCAUUAUGUAUUUUCAUGGUGACAUAUGUAUGCAAAAAAUAAUAAUAAUAAUUAGCAGUGUUUUAAUCAAAUUUAAAUGAUUUUGGAAACAAUUUUUAGCUUUUGGAUACGUUUUCAAUUCAGUAAUCAAUCUGCUUUAUAAAACGAUAUUUCUUGAACACUGAUCUAAAUAUUGGACACAUAGCAUACAGUAACCCUCUGUGCUUGUUUUCCAGUGUCUAUGAUAUUUAUGUCCCUAUUACUUUGGCUCUGAACAUAAGGUAGCCCAUAAAAAACAGUUCCAUUAACAGAUAAUACCUUUUUAAUAUAUGGAAGAAACUGAAAUGUUACAAACAAUUUAUAUAUAAAAAAAAAAAAUGUGACUAAUUUGAUGUUUAAAAAACAUUUCUAUGGUCUCUAAUUAGAGCUUCUAACACUUUUUGUUACUGUUGUUUAUAUUUCACCUUUAUGUGUAUGUCUGUUGUAUUGUCUCUCCUGUGCAGUCUAGUUUUAUAGAUUACAGAUGCUGUUUUUACAGCAGUUGGGUCUCAUACACCUGUACAUUCAUCAGCCUGCUGACAGAAGCAUGAGAUCAUCUCAGUGAUGCCGAGUAUAAUCCUGUUAAAGCGUCGAGCAGUCAGGUGUUCUGUAAUGUGCUGAGACAAGACAAGAGAGAUCAGGUGGUUGAGAGUGGAAGUCCUGACCGAGUUAGCAGACUGACCUCUGACCCUUCAAGGAAACUUGCAUUUAAAUCUAAGAACUUCCUGAGAAGAGGAAAACAUCCCGUCUGUGAUGAAUGUCCUUUUUACCUUUUGUGACACAUAAUACUCGAUCCAGAUGCAGUGAAGUGCAGAAACAAGCUCAUGAAAAAUCCACACGUCACUAUCUCGCUCAACUCAAAUUAAAAGUUCAACAUCCCCGAAAAACAACUGCAACUGUCCCAGACACGUGAACACUGCAUUCUGAUGAAAGACUUCAUUUGGGAGCCAAGACCUUUGCAGUUUCCUGUUGAUAGUGGAUCACAGCUGGAGGUCAAAGGUCAUCUGUAUGUGUGUGUAUCUGUGUCACCCAACACUCUGACAAAGUGUCUUUCAUUUUUCAUUCUGUCCAACAUCACUGAUUAUACUAUAAACAGACCUUUUUGCAGGACUGCUAAAGAGUGAGAUCCUGAAACCAAUUUUAUCAACGAUAUUUUCGUCCUUUUGAUAAUUUAAUUAUGGUUUUCCUUGUGAAAACUUACAAGACAUUGUAUCACAGCAACAUAAAUAAAAAGAUAAUAUACAUCAUAUUAAGCAAAUUAUUUUUCAGUGGCUUAAUAUAAGAAAAAUUCCACGUAUGUGCUGCCACAACAUUAAUUUCUAGUGAGUUUAGGUGAAGUAUUAUGGAUAAUUUAGGUAAAUGAAGUACGGUAAAUGCUUCACAACAGAUCACAAUAGACAGUUUUAUUGAAAUCACUCAUUCUACGUCAGCAAUUAUUGUUUUUGCAGUUGGAUUUAUACUGUGUAUGAAGUUUUUAAAAGGUAUCGUCCAAUUUAUUUACUUGCCAAAGCUAAUUUCACUUGCUGAAUGUUCAUUUUGGAGCAUGUUUGAACUUCACAUGUAGGUCUGUCCAGAUUUGCUCCUUUGAAAUCAUGAAGUCUGAUGCCAGUAAAAUGACUUCAGAAUGUUCUUAUGAGCCCCAUCCAAAAAAAUCAGCUGGUUUAUAGUUUCACUUCAGUCGUCCUUUCAAGUUUUCCAAUGAUCCGAUCACAGAGGUGAGUCUAGAUCAUAGUGCUGGAUUGUUUUGUCAAAUCACAACAUACAGAAUAACGCAGAUGCUUUGUAACAUCUUUCAGACUGAUGGAGAAGUUGAGCGUGGAUCUGAAGACGUGGGGGAGCGAGUGACUACUGGAGCUGACAAGAUCCUGAUGUUCGUUUUCUCAUGUUCUCGAGUGCAUCUUGAGCAUCAAUGCCAGCAAGAAUAUCUGGCCAUCUGUCACUCCUAUACUUAUAUUUAAUCUGUAAAUUAUAAAUAGUGCAUAUAGUUUUUUUUUUUAGAUUAUAACUUAUAAUGUACAUGUUAUUGUUUUAAGUGUAAAAAUAUGAUGUAAAAAUAUGAAAACAUUUUAUUUCCUGCUAACAAAGCAGUGACACCUUAUGCAUCAAUGCAAGUCCUUUUCCUGUAGGAUUUGCUUCUUUGCACGUAAAGCUCUACUCUUGAAGGUCUGGUGUGGUUCAGUGUGGUUUUUGAUGUUUACUCAGAGAGCUGAGCUGUUUCUGUGUCACCACGUCCGUCCGUGCGCUAGAUCACAAACACCAAAACCACAUGAUCUCACUCAUCUUUACGACCCACAAACAACCCCACUGAUUCAGCUGCAAACACACUGGAAACUAUUAAGACUUCACCGCAACGUGACGCUUUAUAUGUGAAAACAGAUUGAUAACAGACAAUGUUUCUCCAGCAAGCAAGAUAAAAGAUUGAGGAGUUUGGUUUCCUGAUGCUAAAAGCAGCUUUCUUUAGGAGAGUGGAUGGCCUCUGGGGACUGAUGUCUGAAGUGUGUGGAAUUAGACGUUCUUAAUGAACAUCCAUGCUACGUAGUAAACAUUGCCAAGUGAUUAGAACACUACAAACCCAUUUGAAAUCAUCUGAAGCUAAUUGAGUCUCAGAGGGGAAUGUGACUCCUUGUUUUAAAGGAAACUAUUGACUGCUGUCUCCUUCAGGGUUGACAGGAUUCUGUUUUCCUCAACAUGAAAUCAUCUGGAAAAGUUCCAGAUCAUCUAUCUAUCUAUCAUUCCAUAUCAUUCUAUCUUUUUUAUAUUUCAUUCUAUCUCUCGUUCUUUUGUUCUGUGUUUAUACUGUUUGAUCUUGUUAGCUUGAGAUGUUUGUUUGUCCAUCCCAUCAAUCUUGUUUGUUUUCCUCCCAGUUCCCUUCAGCUUCAUGAAAUUAAAAUAUAUAAAGCUGAAUUGGAUAUAAACACUGCACACACUCGCACGACUGAAAGCACUGAUUAGACGGACAAUCGAAAGUGAAGACAGACUGGAACGUUCAGUGUUCUUUUGGCAGCACCUGUCUGUUUAAUUCAACAAUCCCUAAACUAUAACACGUAUAUACACACAUCUGUCUUUCUUCCCCUGGCAUUGCUCAGUGAUUAAGACUGUGAUUUCUGUUAGCAAGGAUUUAAACAACGGAUGCACGUUUGCUGAUUGGUGCGUUUUGAUCAUGCAAAUGUUCAACCUUUAUAUUUGUGUUGUGCUAAAUUGUUAAACAUAUGUGUGCUGUACGUUCAAUGCUGUAAAGCAGGUUGUCUUAAAUGUGUGCAUGCCCAUGAUCUCAGCAAUAAUAUAUCAAACAACAUGCAUUAUUCUGCUCAAUAAAACACAUCGGAAGAUAAAUAUCUAUGACAGACGCUCCUCUGAGGGGCUUUUAAGAUUGUGGAUGUGUUUUCUGUCACAUUUCUCUGAGUUAUAGAGCACUACCAAUGAGAUACGGAGGCACUUUAAAUGACCUACACACACACACACUCUAAAAAUGGCUGGGUUAAAAAUAACCCAAUUGGCAACCCAGCACUGGGUAAAUAUUGGACAGAA